AGAGUGAACGCUGGCGGUAGGCCUAACACAUGCAAGUCGAACGGCAGCACAGUAGGAGCUUGCUCUUACGGGUGGCGAGUGGCGGACGGGUGAGGAAUACAUCGGAAUCAACCUUUUGGGUGGGGGAUAACGUAGGGAAACUUACGCUAAUACCGCAUACGCCCUUCGGGGGAAAGCCGGGGACCAGCAAUGGCCUGGCGCUGAUAGGUGAGCCGAUGCGGAUUAGCUAGUUGGUGAGGUAAUGGCUCACCGAAGGCGACGAUCCGUAGCUGGUCUAGAGAGGAUGAUCGAGCCCACACGUGGAAACCUGGAGACGACCGGUCCAAGACCUCCGUACGGGGAGGCAGCAGGUAGGGGAAUUAGUUGGAAC
rnacentral:rRNA from 1 species